rnacentral:lncRNA from 1 species
GAUGCAUCUGAGCUUCAGGAGAGAAAGAUGGGGGGCAGAGGUGGUGAGAAGAAGAGGAGGAGAUUUCCAUGAAGGGAGAGGAGCCCAGUACUGAGAAUGGAUGGGAGAGGAGAGGAAGAGGGUGGAGUGGGCUCUGCCCCACAGUCCCCCAGAGCCCUGGCUCAGACACCUUCCUCCAGGCCCAGGGGCCCUCUAGCCUCCACUGCCCUAGCCCCAGACUGCUCACCUCCUCUGCCCUCUACCCUCCUGUGACAGCAGGGAAACUGAGACCUGGAAAGGGAGGUGGCAUCCAGAUUUGGGCCCCUUUGUCCCCUUGUAAGUUCCCCUGCUUCCCCCUGAACCCCACAGGCUUAGGGAGCCCAAAUGGCUACAGAUCUGGUAAAGCUGGUGGCGGGGUGCUUGGGGAGGGUGGCACACCGGCUCCCAGCUGCUCCAGCACCCCGGGCUCAACAUCUCACUUCUCCCACAGUCUAUGGCCCCCACAGUGGCCUGGGAGCAGGAUUCGUGGUCAGGCAUGGGCUGGGAACCCAGCCAGGUGAGAGCCGUGGGGUCCCCUCCUUCCCUCCCUCCCAGGCCUCAGACGGAAGAGGCAGGAUUGGAGAGAUUGUUGGGGGGAGGCGCAGAGAGCCUCUCAGGUUUGCUGGUGUCUGGCUUAGUCCAAGGGGGGGUUCAAGGGUCUUGUACCCCCACCUCAGCUGGGACCCCAAACCUCCUCAGCUCACCUCUCUCUCUCCCACGAGCCCUUCCACUAAGAAUGGCUAUGGAGCAGGUAGAGAUGGGAGUGGGGGAGCUGGAAGCCAGGAUUCUAGGGGUAUCCCUGGGAUGGGGAUUCCUGAGCCCCUCAUCUGAUCCCCCUCUCUUUCCCAGACACUGAAGGGGGCAUGAAACCCCAAAACCUAGGUGAGGCUCGCCCAGCCCCUGCCUGCCUCCCUCCUCCUGACUCCCUCCUGCCUUCUCGCCCCAGGGUUCAGGACCUUCGCAGGUGCUGCAGCCCAGCCAGGAUAUGGAAACGGGCUGGGAGCAGCGGCCUUCCCAGUGGCCGGAGCCCAGUCAGGAUUGGGGAGCAGAAGUGGUUUGGGCGCUGGCACUCUUCCAGGGGCAGGAACCCCACCAGGAUACAACAAUGGAAACGGACCGGGAACCCAGCCAGGUCGGGGCCGAAGGGGCUGGGGUGGCUGGGGGAGAGGUCAGGGGCCCAGGGCCACACUCUGGGUCCCAACAGAUGGGCUCUUGGGGGUUCAUUCAUUCACCCAAUCUCCCCUGAGCACCCGUCCCAAGCCAGGCCUCGGCUGGCCAUGGAGGACACCCAAGCUGGUCAAGGGUGGCCACGGUCUGGACUCCCGGGCCAAGAACCAAAUCCAACUUUGACUGCAGUCAGGCCUGGGAGGGAGUUCACACAAGACAGAAAGGCAGAGGGCAGGGGUCACGCGAGACAGAAAGGGAGAGGGCAGGGCUCCAGGCCCCAGCUCAUCCCCACUGCACCACCUUCCACACUCCUGUGUCUGCCCUCAAACAGGUCCUGCCGCUCAAAAUGGCUUUGGACCAGGUAAAGAGGGUGGGGACGGAAGCGGGGAGCCUGGGGCUGAGAUUCUGGGCACAGGCCCAGAGGAAAGGAUCCCUCACCCUCUCAUCUUCCCCCCAGGCUUUGGAGGGGGUGGAAAACCCCAGAAGCCAGGUGAGCCACUCCCUGUCCCUGUCUCCCUGCCCAUUUCCUAUGCAUCUGCCGCUGCUUCCCUAGAGUCCCUGAUCUCCCCAUUCUCUUUGGCUCUGUCCCCUGGGAUUUGGGAAUAGGAAUGGGUGGGGAGUCGGGGCCUUCCUGGGAGCUGGAACCCAGGCAGGUAAGGCCCUGGAGUUCUGGGAGCAUGGAGGUCUUAGGGGUUGGGGGUUACUGAUGUAGGGGCCUGGCCCUGGUCCUGAGCAGAGAGGAAGGGAUGGGUGGACUCACAGGAAGUCCUUCCCCUUCUCUUCCCAGGCCUGGGAGGGGGACUAAAGGCUCAGAGAGCAGGCGAGCCCCAAUCUCUAGCCUCCCAACUUGGUCUCACACAACAAACCUCAUUCGACAAACCAAUCCAGGCCUGGAGCAGUGGCUAACACCUGUAAUCCCAACAGUUCGGGAGGCAGAGUUAGGUGGAUCAAUUGAGCCCAGGAGUUCAAGACCAGCCUGGGCAACAUUCCCAAGCUGGUCUUGAAAUCUUGGGCUCAAGCAAUCCAUCUACAAAAAAAAAAAACCUAGCCAGUUGUGGUGGCACGUGCCUGUAGUCCCAGCUACUCUGGAGGCUGAGAGGUGAGGAUCACUUGAGCCCAGGAAGUCGAGGUAGUAGUGAGUGGAGAUCUUGCCACUGUACUCCAGCCUGGGUGACAGAGAGAGAUCCUGUUUAAAAAACAGACAGGCCGGGCUCAGUGGCUCACGCCUGUAAUCCCAGCACUUUGGGAGGCUGAGGCGGGUGGAUCACAAGGUCAGGAGAUCAAGACCAUCCCGGCUAACACAGUGAAACGCCGUCUCUACUGAAAAUACAAAAAAAUCAGUCGGGCGUGGUAGUGGGCACCUGUAAUCCCAGCUACUCGGGAGGCUGAGGCAGGAGACUGGCGUGAACCCAGGAGGCGGAGCUUGCAGUGAGCCGAUCGUGCCACUGCACUCCAGCCUGGGUGACAAAGCAAGACUCCGUCUCAAAAACAAACAAACAAACAAACAACAACCAAAGUAAUCCGUGGACCAUGCCUGUUCUGAGCCAACCAGGUGCUGGGGACAGGCCCUCCCCAACCAGGGCCACGCUGGGGCAUACAGUAUGGGCUGAGGCUGCCCCAGAGCUGGGCUCUGGGAGUUCUUAGGAGGCAGUGGAGGCCAGGGAGGAGAGAGUGGCCCAACCCUCUGAGAAACUGAACCAAAAGGAGAGUUUUGAACAAAGAAGGUACAGGCUCCAGCAAGAUCUCAGACCUGGCCAGGCGCAGUGGCUCACGCCUGUAAUCCCAGCACUUUGGGAGGCCUAGGCGGGCGGAUCACUUGAGGUCAGGAGUUCAAAACCAGCCUGGCCAACAUGGUGAAACUCCGUCUCUACUAAAAAUGCUAAAAAUUAGCCAGGCGUGGUGGCGGGCACCUGUAAUCCCAGCUCCUCAGGAGACUGAGGCAGGAGAAUUGCUUGAACCCGGGAGGCGGAGGUUGCAGUGAACCAAGAUCACGCCAUUGCUCUCCAGCCUGGGCAACAAGAGCGAGACUCCAUCUC